GCGUCAAGGAACCCACACUCCACAUCUGCCAUUCCUAGAGCCAGGACUAACUCCAGAUCCUAGCAGUUACUCUCGAGAUCAUCCCGGGAGUUAUUCGCGAGUUCUGUGCCUCUGGAGGUUUCUCUGUCAGCCUCCCUGGCCGCCGAGGGGGCGCGCGCCCAACAAGGGGGUCUCUAGCGGCCACCUGGGGACAGAAUCAGUGACCCUGGGCGCGCACUUUGCCUCCUCGUUAGAGAUGUCGCCCACGGGAUCCUUAACAAGGCCUACCGCAAAGUGCUGGACCAGCUGUCCGCCAGGAAGUACCUGCAGUCGCUCGUGGCCAAGGGCGUGGGUGGGAGCCUAGGCGGCGGCGCGGAGGACGACGCGGAGCCGCUCUCCAAGCGCCACUCGGACGGAAUCUUCACGGACAGCUACAGCCGCUACCGGAAACAAAUGGCUGUCAAGAAAUACUUGGCGGCUGUCCUAGGGAAAAGGUAUAAACAAAGGGUUAAAAACAAAGGACGCCGAAUAGCUUAUUUGUAGCGAUGAGUUACCAGCUACCCUGUGUAUACAGCCCUGACGCAAUGAAAAGUCGUUUUCCAAACUGACUGAACAGUCAUCGCUCGUGUGUUCUAUCCAAACAUGUAUUUAUGUAAUGAAGUAAAGCCAUUAAAUGAAUAUUUUGAUAAUAAUAUUGUUUUUCUUUUUACAAAGCACUAGAGAAUGCACAGAUAUACUUUGUGGACCAAUUAUUGAUAUAUAUUAUAAAUAUAUAUAAAGAAUAUAUAUAUAUAUAUAAGUAUAGAGAGAAGUUCAUACAAAGCGUGCACAAGGAUUGAAAAUUCGCCCGAGCUGUUUAUGUUUUUAUAAAAAUAAAUAGAAAAGUAGACAAUCAUUGUUUUGAAUAUUACUCCUAUUUUUGUAAACUGGAAUUAAAAGGAUAGUAUUUUUAUCCAUGACAGGCCUGAAGAUAUUACUACUUACCAUUUGCUACUGUACAUAAACAAUGAUGCCCUGCUCCAGGGAGAUUUUGAGGUAAAGAUAUGGAGAAUUGCUGAAGGGCAUUCUUUCCCAGUGAGUCUCUGGGGCAGGCUGCUUCAAUUCCAGCCUAACUCAACUGGGCACUGUCCCCCUGGUUGGGUGGCAAUUCCAAUAUUUCUGCUUUCUUUGAUUCUCCUUUUAUGUGUGGUUGUCUCUCUUCAGACUCUCAGCCCAGAAGAAAAUUCUCCUGAUAAAACAACAGCUCGAUCCAAAUUGUGCUUCUCCCCAGAAUUCACGCCUCUCCCUAGGAGAAGAGUUGAGGAACUGUACAGAAAAGGGCGGCUUCGUUAGACCGCUCUCUUUUCUGUACUUUCUGAGUGGCCAGGGAAUCUAAUAUCCCCAAAUUAGGGCAAUUGGAACAAAGUGAAGGACAUAGAGGUAUAUUGGAAGAGGCAGAGCCUGAGGUGGUAGGAGGAGGACCCUGGAAAUGGACUGGUUUGAGAUUGCCCCAGGUCUGGGAAGCUGAGGGCAAGUCCAGUCCCAAUGGUCCUGACUUUGGGCGCUGGGUAUUGGAAAUGGAUGCAAAGUACAAUGUGUUUUUCUCCAGUGCUGUCCAUGCUUCUCAUCUUGUGAAAUGGCCAGGAUCCUCUCCUUUGAAACCUGCUCUGUAGGAGCUACCCUUUUCCUUUGUGGUUUUAUGGAGACCUCUCCUUCCUACCCUCCGGCACUGUUUAUAUACUGUUUACCAUUUUUCAUUCACUUCUCUUAAACUUGUGAAUGCUUCUCACUUUUUUUUUUGUUUGAUGCAGGCACUUAUUGUAAAUUUUAGAAACCCCUCUGUAGCCACUAAUAAGUAAUUAUGCACUAAAUAUGAACCCUUUGUUUCUUGUUUAUUGAGUUUGUAGGUAAAAUGUAUUUUUCUACAUUAUUGCUU
rnacentral:sRNA from 1 species